rnacentral:rRNA from 1 species
GAGUAACCUGCCCUUGACUCUGGGAUAACCUCCGGGAAACGGAAGCUAAUACCGGGAUAUGACGCACGGAGGCAUCUCCUGUGCGUGGAAAGAACUUCGGUCAAGGAUGGACUCGCGGCCUAUCAGGUAGUUGGUGAGGUAACGGCUCACCAAGCCUACGACGGGUAGCCGGCCUGAGAGGGUGACCGGCCACACUGGGACUGAGACACGGCCCAGACUCCUACGGGAGGCAGCAGUGGGGAAUAUUGCACAAUGGGCGCAAGCCUGAUGCAGCAACGCCGCGUGAGGGACGACGGCCUUCGGGUUGUAAACCUCUUUUAGUAGGGAAGAAGCGAAAGUGACGGUACCUGCAGAAAAAGCAC